GUGCUGGCCUUGGCAGCACAUACACUAAAAUUGGAAUGACACAAAGAAGAUUAGCAUGGUCCCUGUGCAAGGAUGACAUGGAAAUUUGUGAAGCAUUCCAUAUGGGG
rnacentral:snRNA from 1 species